GAUGAACGCUGGCGGCGUGCCUAAUACAUGCAAGUCGGACGCUCCGGAACAGCAAUGGGACGGAGAGUGGCGAACGGGUGAGUAACACGUAGCUGACCUGCCCUUCAGCGGGGGACAACAGCUGGAAACGGCUGCUAAUACCGCGUACGCUGGUGAGGAUUAGAAAGUCACCAGGGAAGUUGAAAGACACUGAAGGAGGGGGCUGCGGCCCAUCAGGUAGUUGGUCGGGUAAUGGCCGACCAAGCCGACGACGGGUAGGGGGCCUGAGAGGGUGACCCCCCACACUGGAACUGAGAGACGGUCCAGACUCCUACGGGAGGCAGCAGUAAGGGAUAUUGCGACAAUGGGCGAAAGCCUGACGCAGCAACGCCGCGUGUGGGAUGACGGCCUUCGGGUUGUAAACCACUUUUCUGGGGGAAGAGGAAGGACGGUACCCCAGGAAGAAGUCUCGGCUAACUACGUGCCAGCAGCCGCGGUAAAACGUAGGAGGCGAGCGUUAUCCGGAUUUACUGGGUGUAAAGCGCGUGCAGGCGGCUUUGUAAGGGGUGUGUGAAAGCGCCCGGCUUAACCGGGCGAGGCCGCACCCGACUGCAGAGCUGGAGGGCGGUAGAGGCGUGUGGAAUUCCGGGUGUAGUGGUGAAAUGCGUAGAGAUCCGGAGGAACACCAGAGGCGAAGGCGACACGCUGGGCCGACCCUGACGCUCAGACGCGAAAGCAUGGGGAGCGAACGGGAUUAGAAACCCCGGUAGUCCACGCCGUAAACGAUGCUGACCAGGUGUGGCGGGGGUAACAGCCUGCCGUGCCGAAGCUAACGCGCUCAGUCAGCCACCUGGGGACUACGGCCGCAAGGUUA
rnacentral:rRNA from 1 species